UGUGAGUAGUAGAGUUUGAUCCUGGCUCAGGAUGAACGCUGGCGGCGUGCUUAACACAUGCAAGUCGAACGAUGAUCUCCAGCUUGCUGGGGGAGGUAUGUGGCGAACGGGUGGGUAACACGUGAGUAACCUGCCCUUGACUCUGGGAUAAGCCUGGGAAACUGGGUCUAAUACCGGAUAUGACUGCUCCGCGCAUGCGGUGGUGGUGGAAAGCUUUUGCGGUUUUGGAUGGACUCGCGGCCUAUCAGCUUGUUGGUGGGGUAAUGGCCUACCAAGGCGACGACGGGUAGCCGGCCUGAGAGGGUGACCGGCCACACUGGGACUGAGACACGGCCCAGACUCCUACGGGAGGCAGCAGUGGGGAAUAUUGCACAAUGGGCGGAAGCCUGAUGCAGCGACGCCGCGUGAGGGAUGACGGCCUCGGUUGUAACUACUUCAUGUAGGGAAGAAGCGAAAGUGACGGUACCUGCAGAAGAAGCGCCGGCUAACUACGUGCCAGCAGCCGCGGUAAU
rnacentral:rRNA from 1 species